CUUGGUUCUCAGCCAACUCCUAUGCUUGGCAGGCUUGGAAGAUAUUCUGAGAGUUCACUGGGUAGAUCGGCGUUGCAGCAGCGAUUCAAGGCUCCCUUCCAGCCCGGAGCCCCACUAGAGGUACUCAUCCCAAAACCUCGGACCCAGUGGUUCUUACAGUCUGAGUCCCUCCCCGAAAGGGACUAAGCAGGACACACUUGUGGCUUGUCGGUGGUUUCGAUAGGUGGCCCUCCGUUUAAGUGGGUGAGAUGGCAGGUUACGACC